ACGGAGGGUGCAAGCGUUGUUCGGAUUUACUGGGCGUAAGGGGCGUGUAGGCGGCUAGGCAAGUCAGGUGUGAAAUCCCUUGGCUCAACCAAGGAAGUGCAUUUGAAACUGCAUAGCUAGAGUACAGGAGGGGAAAGUGGAAUUCCCAGUGUAGAGGUGAAAUUCAUAGAUAUUGGGAGGAACACCAGUAGCGAAGGCGGCUUUCUGGCCUGAUACUGACGCUGAGACGCGAAAGCGUGGGGAGCAAACAGG
rnacentral:rRNA from 1 species